ACAACAACGACCCCUCAUCUUUCAACUGCAGUGACAGUCAAGGAUGUGUACAUAAGAGCUUUUAUUGGAUUACGCUAUACAUGUAAUAUGGCAUUUGCAGCAGCCGAAGACAAAAGCACUGGAAUUACUUUAAGUGACAUUAGUCUCCACGAGCCACACAUAAAGAAGAAUGCAAGAGCUUCUGCGUCAUUUCCAGUUAUCAAGCCAAAUCUGAGUGCUCAGCCAUCACAGUAUGCUGUUAAAAUAAUCCACCAACUUGGGAAGG
rnacentral:lncRNA from 1 species